ensembl:lncRNA
GUAUCCUGACAGAUGGAUAGAUAAAUAGCGAAUCCCCUACAGUCUUUAUUCCCCCUUUGGAGAACCUUAAAAGUUCUACUGUAUUCCAGCAGUGUGGCUCUAGUUACGUUUCACUAUAUCCAGGCAGCAGGAAUAUAGUUAUGUUUAUAAUUAUAGUAAAAUACAUUGUGGUAAUCGUCGUGUAAGUCAAAUCAUUAUGCUCUGCACCUUAAACUUAUACACUGCUGCAUGUUAAUUACAUCUCAAUAAAACUGGAAGGAGAAAAAAAAAUUGCAAUUCGGGAAACAGAGAUUCAGAUUAAACUGAAAUUGUUCCGAAAAGGAGUCAGGGGUUUAUGAAGACAAAAGGCCACAGGUUGUCAGAAAUUGCCUGAUGAAAACUGUGAGCGACUCUGAUACAAGCCAGGAAAUAUUUGUCCUUACGGAAUCACAAGUUAUUUAGGGCAGGGGUGGUCCGAGAAGUAGCUUGAGUUUUUGGCAGAUGUUUUGGAGGACUUCAUUAGGACAACAGAUGAUGGGAAGGUCAGAUUCCAUCCAGGCUGAGACAUGCCAACGUCACACUCAUUAAUGGCCUUCUGGCUCUUUCAGAGAGCUCUUUAGGGAGCAUUAUUGUCAUUGAGGAAGCCUGGCAUGUUGUAGUCCAUGGGGUUGCAAAGAGAUGGACAUGAGUGAGCAACAGAACAAUAACAACAACAUGCAGAGGUUCACGAAGAAAUGUGACUUGAUGGGGUGACUACAACUGGGAGUUGAUAUACUACUUAAUAAAUGACAGGGAGUAGGACAAAAAGGCAUCUUCUGAAAAACAGGUGACUUGGGAAAGGAGGGGCACUUAUAACAAAAAACACUAAGAAAUAUAAAUGGUACCUUAGGAGGAUAUAUGGGAGAUAGGGGAGUUUUGCAAAAAUGUCUUGUUUGUCUGGCACUUGGAACUUUUCUGUCAUUUUAACACUGUUUCCAAAAGUAAAUCAAAAUUAAAACCAACUCAAAUGCACUUCUUUUUAUAGCUGAAUAAUAUACAGAUACUUUAUCCAUUCAUCUGUUAAUGGACAUCUAGGUUACUUCCAUGGCUUAGCUAUUGUAAAUAGUGCUGCAGUGAACACUGGGGUACAUGUGUCUUUUUGGAAUUUGCUGUAUGAUGCAGGGAACCCAAAGUUGGUGCUUUGUGAC